GAAAUGCGAUAAGUAAUGUGAAUUGCAGAAUUCAGUGAAUCAUCGAAUCUUUGAACGCACCUUGCGCUCCUUGGUAUUCCGAGGAGCACGCCUGUUUGAGUGUCAUGAAAUCAUCAAUCCAUAAGGCCUUUGCGGGUUUUGUGGGCUUGGACUUGGAGGCUUGCCGGCGGUCAGCGUCGGCUCCUCUCAAAUGCAUUAGCUUGGUUCCUUGCGGAUCGGCUCUCGGUGUGAUAGUUGUCUACGCCGCGACCGAGAAGCGUUUGGCGAGCUUCUAACAGUCUCGUUUUGAGACAAACCUCUUCAUUGACUCUGACCUCAAAUCAGGUGGGACUACCCGCUGAACUUAA
rnacentral:rRNA from 1 species